rnacentral:rRNA from 1 species
GAUGAACGCUGGCGGCGUGCCUAAUACAUGCAAGUCGAGCGAACGGACGAGAAGCUUGCUUCUCUGAUGUUAGCGGCGGACGGGUGAGUAACACGUGGAUAACCUACCUAUAAGACUGGGAUAACUUCGGGAAACCGGAGCUAAUACCGGAUAAUAUUUUGAACCGCAUGGUUCAAAAGUGAAAGACGAUCUUGCUGUCACUUAUAGGUGGAUCCGCGCUGCAUUAGCUAGUUGGUAAGGUAACGGCUUACCAAGGCAACGAUGCAUAGCCGACCUGAGAGGGUGAUCGGCCACACUGGAACUGAGACACGGUCCAGACUCCUACGGGAGGCAGCAGUAGGGAAUCUUCCGCAAUGGGCGAAAGCCUGACGGAGCAACGCCGCGUGAGUGAUGAAGGUCUUCGGAUCGUAAAACUCUGUUAUUAGGGAAGAACAUAUGUGUAAGUAACUGUGCACAUCUUGACGGUACCUAAUCAGAAAGCCACGGCUAACUACGUG